AGCAAACACUAAGCACUUGCGGAGUGCAACGACGAUAAUAAUUUAUCAUUCGUUUUUCAUUGAUGACUCAAGUUUAUGUCAAUUGUGUAUUUGUUUACUGCGAUUGUAAGCAGCUGCGACGCGAUAUCGCUUGAAGCGCGGUCGCUCACUGCCAAGCUACCGGCGUCGACUACCGUACAUUUUCAAACGAGGAGCCACGAUUCCGACCGAGCAUAAUAUCAUUUUGUUAAACGGCAAGAAAAAUUAUCGGACUCGCUCGAACUUGCGAUAACUCAACGUGUUAGAGUGAGACUGACGACUUUUACUACCCAGAUAGGGAGAUGAAGUGAAAACUCGAAGAUAGUAUUUGCCUAUACUAGAGCAUUCGCGAUGUAAAUGAGGGGUGCACGUAUGAUAUCUUUCAAGGACUAUCAGAAUGAUUGAUUGGCACAAAUGGCGGUAUCGUAAAAUGUUAAGAAGUUAUUUGAUUAUUUCACUGAUGGAAGCCUUAAAUAAUGGACCUUUUUAAUCUUUUUUCGCAUGUGAUCUACUGAAGGUCGGUUGCGUGAUCCUUAUAAUAAAUGUUAAAAGUUGAAGAACUUUUUACGUCAUUUUAUUUGGUAUCAAUCAAGUUGUUUUCGUCAAAAUAUACCUCAAUAUUUUAAAA